UACGUAGGGUGCAAGCGUUAAUCGGAAUUACUGGGCGUAAAGCGUGCGCAGGCGGUUCGCUAAGACCGAUGUGAAAUCCCCGGGCUCAACCUGGGAACUGCAUUUGUGACUGCACAGCUUGAGUGCGGCAGAGGGGGAUGGAAUUCCGCGUGUAGCAGUGAAAUGCGUAGAUAUGCGGAGGAACACCGAUGGCGAAGGCAAUCCCCUGGGCCUGCACUGACGCUCAUGCACGAAAGCGUGGGGAGCAAACAGG
rnacentral:rRNA from 1 species